rnacentral:rRNA from 1 species
UACGAAGGGGGCUAGCGUUGCUCGGAAUCACUGGGCGUAAAGGGCGCGUAGGCGGCCAUUCAAGUCGGAGGUGAAAGCCCAGGGCUCAACCCUGGAAUUGCCUUCGAUACUGUUUGGCUAGAGACCGGAAGAGGUAAGUGGAACUGCGAGUGUAGAGGUGAAAUUCGUAGAUAUUCGCAAGAACACCAGUGGCGAAGGCGGCUAACUGGUCCGGUUCUGACGCUGAGGCGCGAAAGCGUGGGGAGCAAACAGG